AUUACGGCGAACGGGUGAGGAACACGUGAGAAAUCUGCCUUCAACUCUGGGAUAACUCCGGGAAACCGGGGCUAAUACCGGAUAUGAAAUCUGCUGGCAUCCGCGGAUUUGGAAAGUUUUUCGGUUGAAGAUGAUCUCGCGGCCUAUCAGCUUGUUGGUGAGGUAAUGGCUCACCAAGGCGACGACGGGUAGCCGGCCUGAGAGGGCGACCGGCCACACUGGGACUGAGACACGGCCCAGACUCCUACGGGAGGCAGCAGUGGGGAAUAUUGGGCAAUGGAGGAAACUCUGACCCAGCGACGCCGCGUGCGGGAUGAAGGCCUUCGGGUUGUAAACCGCUUUCAGCAGGGAAUAAGCGAAAGUGACGGUACCUGCAGAAGAAGCACCGGCUAACUAUGUGCCAGCAGCCGCGGUAAUACAUAGGGUGCAAGCGUUGUCCGGAAUUAUUGGGCGUAAAGAGCUCGUAGGUGGUUCGUCACGUCGGAUGUGAAACUCUGGGGCUUAACCCCUGACCUGCAUUCGAUACGGGCGAGCUUGAGUAUGGUAGGGGAGUCUGGAAUUCCUGGUGUAGCGGUGGAAUGCGCAGAUAUCAGGAGGAACACCAAUGGCGGAGGCAG
rnacentral:rRNA from 1 species